rnacentral:tRNA from 1 species
UUCCCUCUAGCUCAAACAGUAAAGAAUCUGCCUGUAAUGCAGGAGACCCAGGUUUGAUCCCUGGGUGGGGAA